AAAAAUUAAAAUAAAAUAAAAUAAAAUAACUAUAUAUAUAGCCCCAGCUGGAAAUUCAUUUCUUUCCCUUAUUUUACCCAUUGUUUUCUCAUACAGGUUAUAAGCACAUGUCCUUGGCCCUGAAUAGGACUGGCAGAAGCAUUGUGUACUCCUGUGAGUGGCCUCUUUAUAUGUGGCCCUUUCAAAAGCCCAAUUAUACAGAAAUCCGACAGUACUGCAAUCACUGGCGAAAUUUUGCUGACAUUGAUGAUUCCUGGAAAAGUAUAAAGAGUAUCUUGGACUGGACAUCUUUUAACCAGGAGAGAAUUGUUGAUGUUGCUGGACCAGGGGGUUGGAAUGACCCAGAUAUGGUAAAAACUUGAGCCCUCCUUGUUCAAGACCCUGCGGUAGGCUUGUUUCCUAUUUUGACAUUCAAGGUAAAUACAGGUAAAGUUCCUGGGAGGAGGCUUUAUGUGAGAGUACUUAGAGCAGGAUGCUGUGGAAAGUGGUUUCUCCAUAUGGGUCAUCUAGGUAACUUUAAGAAUGUUUCCUCCUCUCUUGUUUGAAUUAUUUCAUUCUUUUUCUCAGUUAGUGAUUGGCAACUUUGGCCUCAGCUGGAAUCAGCAAGUAACUCAGAUGG
rnacentral:lncRNA from 1 species